rnacentral:tRNA from 1 species
GUUUUUGUAGUUGAAUAUACAACAGUGGUUUUUCAUUCCAUCGGUUUUGGUUAAAGGCCAAAUAAGAACU